rnacentral:rRNA from 1 species
UCUACGGGUGGCAGCAGUGGGGAAUAUUGGACAAUGGGCGAAAGCCUGAUCCAGCCAUGCCGCGUGUGUGAAGAAGGCCUUCGGGUUGUAAAGCACUUUCAGUGGGGAAGAAAGCCUUGGGGCUAAUACCCUCGAGGAAGGACAUCACCCACAGAAGAAGCACCGGCUAACUCCGUGCCAGCAGCCGCGGUAAUACGGAGGGUGCGAGCGUUAAUCGGAAUUACUGGGCGUAAAGCGCGCGUAGGCGGUCUGAUAAGCCGGUUGUGAAAGCCCCGGGCUCAACCUGGGAACGGCAUCCGGAACUGUCAGGCUAGAGUGCAGGAGAGGAAGGUAGAAUUCCCGGUGUAGCGGUGAAAUGCGUAGAGAGCGGGAGGAAUACCAGUGGCGAAGGCGGCCUUCUGGACUGACACUGACGCUGAGGUGCGAAAGCGUGGGUAGCAAACAGGAUUAGAUACCCUAGUAGUC